rnacentral:lncRNA from 1 species
CUGUGGCUGUUGCCGUGUGGAAAGGUUAGGAAUGGCUCCAAGGAUCAAUCAACUAUUUUAGUUUAUGCAUCCAGGGAAACUGGAUUAACAAAGCAGGAUUUCAAAAAACCCUCUGAGUGUGCAGGGAAAGUUAUCAUUAGAAGAGUUUAGCCUAAGGUUUUUACCUUUUUUUGGGCACUACAUGUUAAGUGUAGUGUCUAUUCAAAAUAAUUACAGAGCCAGGAUAAUUCAUUCGGAAUCACUACAAAAUAAGGGUGAGGAGAAAGAAGUUUAAAAAAUUUAAAAAGGAAUGAAAUCAAUGCCUUGAAGAUAAAUGUAAGUGAAAAAACUGAAAGGCAAAAUCAUUACUCAAAGAAGAAAAGUGAAAUUAUUCCUGCUUUGAUGCAUAUAGAAAAGCAUCUUGAUAACUACAAGGCAAAUCUGAAGAAUGUGUUAUCAGAAAAGAAUGGGGUCCCUGUUUUUCUGUUGCACUCUCAAACCUUGAAUAGCAGUGAUUUGAUUGAGUUGACCUCAGAGGAGACCAACCAGACCAGGAAAACACAGGAUGUGAUGGGUGUACCAGUGGAGGGCUCAGCUCUGGAAGUGCUCCCAGAAGGCAGAGCCAGGGCAGCUCCACAAAACCUCUCUGGGCACCUCAGGGAACUCACAGGGAUCCAGAGUCUCAGGCAUACAGCUUUCCAGGUUUAUGCCACGAUGCAGCAGCCUCCAGCUGGUCCAGCAGCAUGUGCUGCUCCUCAGAUCCUACAGAGGGAUUGGGAGUAAAAGAAAAAUGGCAGCAAGCCCUUCAGCUGAAGAAAGAAUGAAUUCCUGUGACUGCAGGAAGUGGCUCGGGGCCACCUGAACGCAGGGACAGGAUCCAGGUCUGCCACUCACCAGCUGGGAUUUCUCAUCCCCAGGCAGCUGAGGGAUGCUGGCUGUGCCAUGUGGCAGGAGGGCUCGUCCCCUCCCUGUGGCCACUGCAGUCCCAAGCCAAGCACUUUGUACCUCAGCUGCCUGCUUGGGGGUGAUUUUUUUUUCUCUGAAGCAUUUUGCUCAAAAGCUGGAGGGGCAGGAGGCACUGAAACACUGCCCAGAGAGACCACAUUCCUGGAGCCCAGUGCAUUUCAUAAUAUAUUUGUGACUGCUCUUCAGUCCCAAUAAAUUUGAGAUUGGAGGAAAUCCA